rnacentral:tRNA from 1 species
GCCCUGGCAGUGCAAUGGUUACACUUUUGGCUGGUAACCAGAAGGUUGAUGGUUCAAACCCACCCAGUGGCU